rnacentral:rRNA from 1 species
GAUGAACGCUGGCGGUGUGCCUAAUACAUGCAAGCCGAGCGAACAGACGAGGAGCUUACUCCUCUGACGUUAGCGGCGGACGGGUGAGUAACACGUGGAUAACCUACCUAUAAGACUGGGAUAACUUCGGGAAACCGGAGCUAAUACCGGAUAACAUGUUGAACCGCAUGGUUCAACAGUGAAAGACGGUCUUGCUGUCACUUAUAGAUGGAUCCGCGUCGCAUUAGCUAGUUGGUAAGGUAACGGCUUACCAAGGCAACGAUGCGUAGCCGACCUGAGAGGGUGAUCGGCCACACUGGAACUGAGACACGGUCCAGACUCCUACGGGAGGCAGCAGUAGGGAAUCUUCCGCAAUGGGCGAAAGCCUGACGGAGCAACGCCGCGUGAGUGAAGAAGGUCUUCGGAUCGUAAAACUCUGUUAUUAGGGAAGAACAAAUGUGUAAGUAACUAUGCACGUCUUGACGGUACCUAAUCAGAAAGCCACGGCUAACUACGUG